UACGAAGGGGGCUAGCGUUGUUCGGAAUUACUGGGCGUAAAGCGCACGUAGGCGGAUUGUUAAGUGAGGGGUGAAAUCCCAGGGCUCAACCCUGGAACUGCCUUUCAUACUGGCAAUCUAGAGUUCGAGAGAGGUGAGUGGAAUUCCGAGUGUAGAGGUGAAAUUCGUAGAUAUUCGGAGGAACACCAGUGGCGAAGGCGGCUCACUGGCUCGAUACUGACGCUGAGGUGCGAAAGCGUGGGGAGCGAACAGG
rnacentral:rRNA from 1 species